rnacentral:lncRNA from 1 species
CCACCAGUUAGCCCGAGGGGGUCGCAGCGACAGGUCAGGAGCGAUGAAAAGUGCAGUACUAGCAAGGAAGCCAAAGAGACACUCACCUUUUGGCACCUAAGUAGAUUACCGACGCUGAGCCGACAAUAAUGAAUUCAUUUUACUUCCUCUUUAUGACAUUCUCAUGCCAGGCAUGGCGGCACAUGCCUGUAAACUCAGCACCUCAGGGGCUGAGGCAGGUGGGUCCCCACAAAUUUGAGACCAGCUCGGGCUGUGAAGUGAAUUCAAGGCCAGCUGAACUGCCCAUCAGCACCCUGGCUCAAGAAACAAAAGCGAAAACAAAUAACGUCUUCUGGCAACACUGGUUCCAGCUGGCCACUUGUUCGUGUGUUUAUCUUCCUUCCAGUUACUAUUUAAGUAAACAUUUUAUCCAGAA